GGUUAAAAAGCUCGUAGUUGGAUUUCUGUCUAGGGUGGCCGGUACCCACUAUGUGAAGUAUCUGGUUCAGUCUGGGCAUCCUCUUGGGGAUCGUUCCUGUGCUUGAUUGCAUGGGACGGAAUUCAGGACUUUUACUUUGAGGAAAUUAGAGUGUUCACGGCAAGCUUUCGCUUUGAAUACAUUAGCAUGGAAUAAUGAUAUAGGGCAUAAGUUCUAUUUUGUUGGUUUCUAGAACAUAUGCAAUGAUUAAUAGGGAUAAUUGGGGGCACUCGUAUUAACGCGUCAGAGGUGGAAUUCUUAGAUUGCGUUACGACGAACUACUGCGAAAGCAUUUGCCAAGGAUGUUUUCAUUGAUCAAGAACGAAAGUAUGGGGAUCGAAGACGAUUAGAUACCGUCGUAGUCUAUACCAUAAACUAUGCCAACUAAAGAUUGGAGGUCGUUUUUUUUAUGACUCC
rnacentral:rRNA from 1 species